UCCCGGUUAUCAUGGAGGGCGUCGUUGGGCGCUGGGCGUGGCCCCUGGGCUAUGGCUGCCGAGGCGCUGGAGGGGCCUCUUGUGCGAAGUAGUGUGCACGCGGGUUCCCCUCUCCGGGGCGGUGGCCUGUUCCUUCCUCUUUCCGGUGGGCACGAGGUUUCUGCAGCACCACCACCGUAUUCGCGCACCCUCGCCCCGGGGGCGGCGGACGGGCUGACUCAGCACCCAACGCUCCGGGGCCGUGUGUCACCCCAGCCUGGCUGGACCUGGCGCCUCCCCAGACUGCGAGCUCCUGGAGAUAAAGGACCGCGUUUCAUUAUUGCAAUGAAUGAUACAUAUGAAUGGAACCUAUUAUUUCAGUUAACAUUUACGUGUUUCAAAAGACAACGUAUCUUUUUAUUGAACGCCGAUUGUGUCCUAAGUACUCAAUAAAUCCUUUAUAGGAGAUUCUAGGGAAGUAAGAUUAUUCCUCUCAAGCCUGAAAUUUUCUGAUACUGCCACGUAUAUUGUCUGUAUAUGAAGUAUCGCAUACAGUUUGUACAUGUAUGUAUGUCAUUCACAGCCUUCUAAAACCCAGGAUAAAAAAUUUUUUUAAGUAGGUAUAAUUAACAGAUGCAGAUAUAAUUAGAAAAGGUACUCUGAUAUUUCCAUGCCUUGUCCAAGAAACAGGAUGUAUUAUAUAAUGAGAACAAAUCGUUUACAAAACCCCUGCUGGAAUCCGUGAUUGCCUGCUUUCAUUCUCUUGGUUCUCUAUUCGUUCCUUUAAUUAUUAAAAUAUUAGAGGAAAGCCUAUCCACAGCAAGUAGGGUGGACUUUUGUAAUUGGAUGUUAUAAUGCUGACCAAAGUGGACAUAAAGAAGUGAAAAUAUUCCCCACUUGGGAACAGAAAAUAACGUGGAUAUGAAAACUUCAAGAAAACUGGGUUAUAAGUGAGAGCUGGAAAUGGGUUCGAAGGUUACUUUUCUCCCUCAAAGAACAGAAAAUCAGACAUGGAAUAGCAUAACCCCAAAGAUCUUCAGACAAGACCGUCAUACCAGUGCUCCUGACAAGCAAAUCCGCCCCUCACCAAGUUCAUUUGGAGAAAAAAAAAACAAAAAUAGAAGCUCUUCAUUGAACCAUGACUAUGUGCUGGGAGACGUGGAGGCUUUCUUUCCUUUUGUCCUCAUUACAACAAAGCAGAGACUUUCCUGUGCUUAUAACUCCUGCAUUCAUUCUGCAACUAUUUCCGGAAUGCCUAUGAACUACCAGACAGUAAGCCAAGCGACAUACACGCACCCAGCGACGGGCGAAAGACAUGGCACCUAUAGAGAUGAUUUCUCGCUUUUUUUUGCACAACGAUUAGAAAAUACAUAUGUGAGGAUGUGAAAAAUAGGUUCUGUGUUCCAAAGCCUGGUGAGAGCACCAAAACAGGUUUCUCAAAGAAAGAGAGAAAAGGCUGGAAUUUGGAGAGGGUGUUUCUUUUGAGUUGGGCUGUGUGUUUCCUGUGGACACCUCCUCAUUCGGGGAAGGGUGGGGGUGCCUUUCACUCCCCUCAAACCAAGUGGGAAGUGCUCCAAAGGGAACAUCAAUGGCUUGAGUUGUGUCAUCGGAGCUUGGGGUCACAGUGCACGGGGGCUAACUCUGGCUCAAGAAAAGUUAAAGGCGAGAACCUGAUGACAAAGCUCGGGGUGGUGGCAUGGGGUGGCCUGUCCUCAGGGCCGGACUCGUCUCCUGGGGCACAUUUUAGGGAGCACCAAAAAGCUCAGGAAUCAAAGUAAAUAAUAUGUCAAGUGCAAUAUUAUUAAAAAUGACAACUAAUGGGAAAAAAUCAGGAUGAACAAAAUAACAACAUUUUCAAUAAAACUAGUAUCAGUGGGGCUGGGAUGAGGGUAGAGGAAGCAAAGUGAGCCGUGGAAAUGUGUCUGCAUGGAAAACUCUCAAACCCAAGGCACGCACCUCCUUCUCCUCAUCUAGUCUGGGCCCAGCUUGCGCAAAGGGGGCACGUGGGUUUCCACUGACCAGAUGCAGAUCGUAUGAGAGCUGGAGCGGGGCCAGGCCGGAAAGGGCGGGGGAAUCUUAGGAGGACAAUGCUGGAGUCUGUCCCAGAGCUAAGGGGGGAGCCCUCAGCCAGCAGCCGGAGGAGAGGCCUGGCCCGCCCCAGGGAACUUGCAGGAAACAGAGACAAGCAAAAAGAAGAAAGUGAAGCUGCCUGUAAUUCCACCACUCAGAGAUAAACUUCUAGGUGGGAAGUCCUACAAAUCUUUGGGACUUCUCCCUCUGGGCUGGCUUUUGCCUUCCAGCAUGACCCGACUCAUUUAUACUUCCGCCCACCUGAACGCCCACCUCUUCUGCCUGUUUCUUCACGCCCUGAUGGACCCUGGGCAUCAGCUCUCUUUUGGAUCGUGGCUUUGUAUUAAAAUCUUUGU